rnacentral:sRNA from 1 species
UCCGCCUUGCGUCCCGGGCGAGCGGGGGCGUGCAGGAGUCUCCCCACCCACGUCAGACAUCUGUGAGGGCUCCGGACCUCCCAAAGGCGGAGAAGUGCACAGGAAAACCACAGGGUAUGGGGGUCCGCUCCCCCUCUUCUUAAGCAAAUUUGGGGAAGUGUGGCUCUGUCAGUUUAACACUUGUCCUUUGUAGAGAGACAAGACAGGGAGCUAGGGCCUCGGACCAUGGCUAGUUGGAAGUGUGCGCACAAUCCUCAUCACUACGGACUGGGGAAAGCGCACACAUGGGACUGUGGUGCCCACGGUCAAGCCAAAGACCUCAGCUGUACUUAACAUCGUAGUCAUUUUGGAAGUAUGAACAAAGUGGCUACAAAGAGCACUUAUCGCAGAAAUGAGGCACGCCUCGAGCUACGAUGCUGGAGCAGCAUCUCUGCCUUCUGGCCUUUAUGAAAGAGAUGAAGCCUACGCAGUAACUUCGGGCCAAGUACACAGGAAGAUCAGACAGAGCAUCCAGAAAGAUUUGGUCUUUUCUCAGCUUCCCUUCUGUUAUUGGAUGGAAUGAUUGAUUACCUAUGGCUGAAACAACCGUACGCUCUCACCCAUCUCUGCCUUCGAUGCUGCUGGAGGACCCACGAGCACUGAACCAAGGUCUGGAAUAAUAACAUAAAGUACACACACACACACACACACACACACACACACACAGAGAGAGAGAGAGAGAGAGAGAGAGAGAGAGGUAGGAGAGGAGAAGAAGAGAAAGAAAAAGAUAUAGAAGACCUCUCUCUUGGCUCUGUUGACUAACCCUUCCUAGAGUGACAUAGUAGGUAUCAGGCUUCUCCCACACCAUUAAGCUACAUCCUCAAACAUGGAGGAGAAGACUUACGGGACAUGGGAAAGGGACACCUAGCUUCCAGAUACCUCGUUUUUCAUAAAACUCUAAAAAGGCGAUUGACUUGUCAGCUGAGUUUUUUAAAGUAAUAAAAAUCAGUCCUUGAAAGAAUUGACAAAGAAUUGGGAAAGUUUAAUGGCCUGCAAUGUAUUGAGGUUUGUUCAGGAUGUAUCCCCCAUUUUCCUUUCUGUAGCUUUAAGAGUUGAUGGGGGAAAUGGUCCAGCAGUGCCUGCUGCCUCUCUCAGCAACAAUCCUUUCUUUGCCAGCUUCUAGAGUAUCUGAUGAACCCGUCAACACUGGUCCCUGCUUAGCCAUAGUUUCCACUUUAUCGGUUUCCGUCACCCACAGAGGAGGAAGUGAAGAGCAAAGACAACAACGAUGUGAUCUGUGCGUGGGAAAGAGUGGGACGGAGAAGGAGGAGCCCCCUUCAUUUGGCUAUAGGACAUCAUUUUAUUUUAUUAUUGGUUAUUGUGAUUCUUCCUUUUCAAAGAUUUAUUUUUUUUAAAUAAGUUGGGAUAGUUCAUGGAGCUGGAGUUUAAUGUAGCUGUGAACUGCCCCAUGUUGGUGCUGGGAACUGCACUUGGGUCUUCUGCAGGGGCAGCACGAACUCUUUACAGUCGAGCUGUCACUGCAGCCUCUAUGGUUUCUUAACCCAUCUCACUUAUGAAUGGAACUUUAUCAAAGUUACUCAGUCCUUAGAAAGACCCUCACCUAAAGGCUUCCUCUACUAGUGGGAGGUACUGUGGACGUUUAAGAGGUAGAGUCUAAGGAGAAGCCUUAGAAAGCAAGGAGUGUCCUCAUAAGGACCAUGGCGACUCAGUCUCUGUUUCUCUGUCUACUCCCUCCAACUCUCCCGGUGAAGUUCAGGAUACAAACACCUGGCUUUUGAUUCUGUUUUAAAAUAAAAUUGUGAGACAAGAUAGGCAGUUGUUUGUGUCUGUCCACAACACCCACUUCUAGGAUGCCCUGGUUCUAACAGCUUUAAGAAACUAACAGUCAGGAGGAAUGAGGUAAAAGUCAAUCAGAAUCCAAAUCUGAGCCAAAAUGAUAUAGAAGAAGAUGUAGGGAGAAGUAUUCAUGACACGUGACUUGAGGCUCUGUUCUUAGGUGUCAUACCAAAAGCACAAGCAAUUGAAGAAAAAGUAGAUACAUUGGGCUUUAUCGAAAUUAUAGAGUUGCAUGCAUCAGAGGGCAUUAUAAUUAUAACGGAGAACAUAAUUAUAAUUAUUAGAGGUGAAGAUCAUUUACCUGAUAGGGAUUCAUUACACAUAACACUAGAAAGACUGCCUACAAUUCAACAUUAAAAAAACCAAAUGACUUAAUUAAAACAUGGACAAAGAUUUAAUUAAACAUCUACCCCCCAAAAAAGUAUAUGAAUGAACCUCCUAUUGUAUAUGCAAUUAUAAAUUGUUCAUUUGCUGGGAAAACCCAUUUGUCAGUUUUUCAAAUAGCUGAACCAGAGCAUCCUAUGACUUAGCAAUUGUGCUUCUAGGUUUAUCUCCAAAGGGAAUGAAAACUGGGACUUGGAAAUGUACACACUGGUGUAUACUGUAGCAUUAUCAUUAUUAUUAUUACUAUUAUUAUUAUUUAUUUCUGUGGAAAAUACCAGCAGAACCUUGCUUUGGGUUGUGUUGAUAUUUUAAUAAUAACAAUUCUUUGAAAAAUAAAUCUAAUACUACUUUUAAAACAGGGAAAUGAAAUGUGUGUGUGUGUGUGUGUGUGUGUGUGUGUGUGUGUGUGUGUGUAUGUUCCUGCAUGUUCUUAUAGGCGGCCAUGCACCUGUCAGAGGACCACCUUGGGUUUCACUCCUUGCUUUCCCUCCUGUUCCACACAGGAUCUCUCUUGUUCACUGCCAUGUAAACAAACUAAAUGGCCCAUGAGCUUUCGGUGAUUUCCUUGCCCAGCCCCCCAGGUGGAAACAUAUGCUGGUGUUAGACACAUCUGUGCUACUGCAUCUGCUAUUUUACAUGGUUUCUAGAGGCCUGAACUCAGGUUGUCAGGCUUGCUUGGCCAGACAAGUGCUUUACACGCGGAGCCCUAGGCUGAAUUUUGAUCUGAUUUUCAGAAAAGUCACACGGUUAUACAAGCCUCUAACGUCUAUGUAGAAAUUGGAAUAGUAACUUUAUAUGUUUAAAAAAUUUCGUCAAAUGAGAAAUGUUUACGGAACCGCCCAGUAAAAUCAGCCAAGCGAGAACAAUACUAAGUACUGGAGAGAUGGGUGAGCAAAGGGUGAUCACGCAUUGUAUAGGACUGUCCUCUGAGUCCAAUAGCUGCCAUCUUCAGUGCAGCUGUGCCCCUUGUAAAAGAUUAUCCAUCCCACCUGGGUCUGCUGGCUGUUUACUCUCACUGGGAGGAAAGGGGUCGGGAGACCCUCAUCCAAGUAGGAGUUCAUCCAGCUGCUUCAUGCCACCUGUUGUAUCCAACUCUGCCCUAACUGUAUGUGGCCUGGGCGAGGGGCUAGGGUAGAUAGACUAGGGGAAGAAGGCCCCAUCCAUGUGUCUAGGUCAUCUUCUCUGCUAGGUAAAGACUUUCCCAUAGGCAACCCUUCACCUACGCUCUGUAAGGAAACAAGUAAACUGAGUGGUUCUUCAGUGUGGCUUUUGUAGAACAGCACCUUUGUCUUUGGGAACCUUAGGAGUAGGGUAGAUAUAGCUCACAUCCCCCUGGGAAAGAAUUUCGGCAAUAUCUGUGCUAUAGAAUAUUACUCAGCCUUAAAAAAGGGAAAAAAACCCAUGUUAUCCAUGGUCAAGACUUAACAUCAUGUGAUCCAUGUUAUAACUUGGCCAAGACUUAAUAUCAUGUGAUCCAUGUCAUAACAUGGUCAAGACUCAUGUGAUCCAUGUCAUAACAUGGUCAAGUCUUAACAACACCACACUGAAUGAAGUGAGCCAGUCAUCAAAGAAUAAAUAUUCUUCCUGAUUUCGUAUACAGGAGGCAUAUACAGUAUGUCUCAGAGAGGCGUGAAGUAAAACAGUGGAACCAUUUCUUCAGGAGCCAGGGUGUGAUGGGGAAGAACAGCACGUAAUUUUUAUUUAAAAAAUUCGAACGCGGAGUUUUGGUUCUGCAGGAGGAGAAAGGACCCGGAGAUGCUUUGUUCAUCCCGAUGAUGCUGACCUCUUGCAAAUCACACCCUGAAAGCGAUUAAGGUAGAAAAUUCUAUGGAGUGUGUACUUCACCAUAAUUAAGUUAGCCAUAUAGAGUGAGCCCUGUAUGUACAGAAUUCAGGUGACUUCACUGCCCAGGUUGACAGUGACAUUAAGAUGCUGAAGAGGAUGCCAGCCAGUGUGACCAAACACUUCGAUUCAAAACUGGCUGUCCUCAGUUAAAGAGCAAUUUCAUGUCAGCGUGGGAAGUUACAACGCCAUCUCACUUCUGAAUUCUGUAAGAGUUAAACAAUCACAGUUCGGGGUUCACUUUAAUCACUUCCAACCAAGGCCUGUAAAGUCAUUUUAUUACAAAAACAUAAGGGGCGGAGGCAAAAUCCUCUGCCUUAAUUGAGCAGCAUCAGAAAUCAUAAACCUAGAUGAUGGUGUCCCUUCUGGCGAGCCUCUUAAAUCCAAUUCUGCACCAAGCAUCAGCUUCAUGAGGCACAAGAUGACCCUGACCAAAUUACAUCAUCAGCUCAUCGGUUUACAGGGAAGUGGAGGUCUGCUGGUUCUGUGCAGGGGAGGGGAUGGAGCAUGGGCCCUCUCAAUGUGCAGUUUAUUUGUAAGCAGGGUGUGUAAUAAAUGAGCAGGUAGACACACAUGUGUACAUACACACACACACACACACACACACACACACACACACACACUGCAGACGUGCAUAUACAUCACAUCCUGUGGCACAAAAAGACGUCACUAGUAAAACUGCCUCUACAAAUGAGGUGUGGAUGGGUGGCUGCCUUACACAAAUUCUUUUUGUGCCAAAGGGAAAGCUUCUAAAACCAUUAGGAUGUGAUAGUGACCUCUCAGGUCCCUCCAAUAACUGGUGCUUAAAAAAUAAAACAAACAAACAAAGAAACAAACAAAACAAAUCCACAACCUACCCUCACUUUUAAUCACUGUUCAAUUGAAGUCCAAUAAAGAGAGACUGACAAGAAGA